rnacentral:rRNA from 1 species
GACGAACGCUGGCGGCGUGCUUAACAUAUGCAAGUCGAACGGAAAGGCCCUGCUUUUGUGGGGUGCUCGAGUGGCGAACGGGUGAGUAACACGUGAGUAACCUGCCCUUGACUUUGGGAUAACUUCAGGAAACUGGGGCUAAUACCGGAUAGGAGCUCCUGCUGCAUGGUGGGGGUUGGAAAGUUUCGGCGGUUGGGGAUGGACUCGCGGCUUAUCAGCUUGUUGGUGGGGUAGUGGCUUACCAAGGCUUUGACGGGUAGCCGGCCUGAGAGGGUGACCGGCCACAUUGGGACUGAGAUACGGCCCAGACUCCUACGGGAGGCAGCAGUGGGGAAUAUUGCACAAUGGGCGGAAGCCUGAUGCAGCAACGCCGCGUGCGGGAUGACGGCCUUCGGGUUGUAAACCGCUUUCGCCUGUGACGAAGCGUGAGUGACGGUAAUGGGUAAAGAAGCACAGGCUAACUACGUG